rnacentral:rRNA from 1 species
UACAGAGGUCUCAAGCGUUGUUCGGAUUCAUUGGGCGUAAAGGGUGCGUAGGCGGCGCGGUAAGUCGGGUGUGAAGUUUCGAGGCUUAACUUCGAAACUGCAUUCGAUACUGCCGUGCUUGAGGACUGGAGAGGAGACUGGAAUUUACGGUGUAGCGGUGAAAUGCGUAGAUAUCGUAAGGAAGACCAGUGGCGAAGGCGGGUCUCUGGACAGUUCCUGACGCUGAGGCACGAAGGCCAGGGGAGCAAACGGG